AAUUCAGAGAUGGAUUUGUGCCUUCGGGAACCGUGAGACAGGUGCUGCAUGGCUGUCGUCAGCUCGUGUUGUGAAAUGUUGGGUUAAGUCCCGCAACGAGCGCAACCCUUAUCCUUUGUUGCCAGCGAUUAGGUCGGGAACUCAAAGGAGACUGCCAGUGAUAAACUGGAGGAAGGUGGGGAUGACGUCAAGUCAUCAUGGCCCUUACGACCAGGGCUACACACGUGCUACAAUGGCGCAUACAAAGAGAAGCGACCUCGCGAGAGCAAGCGGACCUCAUAAAGUGCGUCGUAGUCCGGAUUGGAGUCUGCAACUCGACUCCAUGAAGUCGGAAUCGCUAGUAAUCGUGGAUCAGAAUGCCACGGUGAAUACGUUCCCGGGCCUUGUACACACCGCCCGUCACACCAUGGGAGUGGGUUGCAAAAGAAGUAGGUAGCUUAACCUUCGGGAGGGCGCUUACCACUUUGUGAUUCAUGACUGGGGUGAAGUCGUAACAAGGUAACCGUAGGGGAACCUGCGGUUGGAUCACCUCCUUACCUGAAAGAAGC
rnacentral:rRNA from 1 species